rnacentral:tRNA from 1 species
GGAACAGUACUCAAGAGGUGAAGAGGCGGUUAUACUAAGACUGUAGGGAAGCGACUCCCGCGGAGGUUCAAAUCCUCUCUGUUCCGCCA